rnacentral:rRNA from 1 species
CUAAUACCGAAUAAUGUCUUCGGACCAAAGAUUUAUCGCCUUUAGAUGGGCCCGCGUAGAUUAGCUAGUUGGUGGGGUAAAAGCCUACCAAGGCGACGAUCCUUAGCUGGUCUUAAGAGGAUGAUCGGCCACACUGGGACUGAGACACGGCCCAGACUCCUACGGGAGGCAGCAGUGGGGAAUAUUGGACAAUGGGCGAAAGCCUGAUCCAGCAAUACCGCGUGAGUGAUGAAGGCCCUAGGGUUGUAAAGCUCUUUUACCCGGGAUGAUAAUGACAGUACCGGGAGAAUAAGCUCCGGCUAACUCCGUGCCAGCAGCCGCGGUAAUACGGAGGGAGCUAGCGUUGUUCGGAUAUACUGGGCGUAAAGCGCACGUAGGCGGCGCAGCAAGUCAGGGGUGAAAUCCCGGAGCUCAACUCCGGAACUGCCCUUGAAACUGCAGUGCUAGAAUCCUGGAGAGGCGAGUGGAAUUCCGAGUGUAGAGGUGAAAUUCGUAGAUAUUCGGAAGAACACCAGUGGCGAAGGCGACUCGCUGGACAGGUAUUGACGCUGAGGUGCGAAAGCGUGGGGAGCAAACA